CAGGGCAUGGACAGGGGCUCCCGAAGCCACCAUGUGAGCUGAACGGACGCCUCGUCUGCAUUAAGAAGCUGUGGGCAUGUGGGCGCCACCACUGUCAGCCCGUCCCCUGACCUUCAUCCUCAUGAAGCCACAGAUCUGACUUCUCCACACCCAGACUGAGGGAGAAAGGGGGAGCCCGGGAAACACUGAGGACGAGCUGGUGAGCUGGGGAGGAGUCUUCAAACACGCUGCAGGGCCAGGAGGGGAGCUGCCCGGCUGAGGAUCAGGCUCUGGCACGGGUCAGAGAGGCAGGACCCUGGGGGCAUGGGCUCCUGGCGGAGCAGCCUAGCCGCACAGGCAGUGCCCAGCCGGUCAGAAGGCCGAGCAAGCAGGUGGUGGCCCCAGCUCUGCAGGCAGGUAAGAGUGGGCUGGAUGCUCCACCUUUUCUUUUCUCUCUUCUGCUCUGAGUGGUUACCAUGGAGACCACCUGGUGAAGAUGUGAUUGACAGAAGAUGGGAGGAGCCUGGAUCCCCAGGUGACUUCACGGUGCAGAGCCUCAUGCUACUGCCCAAAUCAUAUGAGACAGAUGGAGGAACUAGAAACUUUCAGGACGCUAAGGUGCUGGAAUUGUAGCGUUCAUUCUAACAGACACUUAACCAGUACAGCGCCCUCAUCCCGCAUGAUGAGAUGAUUAACUCAAGUAACUUCCGCCUAGAACUGUGGACGCAGAGCCCGUCACGGUGUAUUUAUCAAGCGCAGCCCAAUGCACAGCCCGGCUGACGGGUCAUCCCUCAGGUGUCAGAUGGUCUGCUUCGGUGUUGUUCACGGAGAACCUGGGCAAACAACCCAGGUUCCUAUGUCAAGAUAAAUCUCUGAUUUGUUUUCAGGACUCGCCAGAAGGGCCAGUUGGAAGGUUCUAGGGGACUCUUUGAGAAAUCUCUCCCUGGGUUGAAGUUCGGACUGUAUGAAAGCAGUGGGCCGCACGACCCCAGAGGGCACAGCGCGUGAGUCCUCCUUUGGGGAGGGGGUCCUAUGAAGGUGGUUCCCCAGGACCGGCAGGCUCAGAGGUGGACAGUGGUCCCGAGAGGAGCUCGUCCACAGCGACAGCAGGCCCCUGGCCCUAGCAGUGAGAGCAGCACCGAGCCGCUCCUGCUGCCCCCCCUCCCCCGGGCCUGGCCAGGAGCCGCUGGGACGGUGGGCACGGUGUUUGGAAGCCAGUGUUUGUUCAAGGAGACCAGCUUCCACGGCUCUGGACCACACUGAGCAGGACUUCACUCCCCGCGGCUCCCUCACGGAGCUCCCCGGCUCCAACUGCAGCAUCGGACAGAUGGACAAACACCCUGCAGGUCGCGUUGUCCCUCAGAUGCUGCCCAUGGAGACGGGGGCUCUAAGGCCACUGUCCGCCUGGGAGACCCCUGUACCAGGGAGAGCUGUGCGUGAGCUGCCACGUGACUCUAGGAAGUCUUCACGCGCCAAGAUGACUCAGAACUGCCUGUGUUUCAGGAUGCGGGGAGCAUGGGAGGAAUCAGGAACACUUCCAGGAGAUCCCAGAUUCAGGGAGGGGCUGUGAGCUAACGCGUGCACGCAGACUUCAGACACCUGCAAACAGAAUCGCUGCAGGAGGGGAGGGAGGAGACGAAGGAGAGCCGGGCUGCUCUGCACUCUGAACGCAUGGCCGCCCUCUCAUGCCUCUGUCCAUGUCUCAGGCUCUCCCUGGGCCUCUCGGCUCAUCUCUUUCAGGAUGGAUUCCCGGAUUUGCGGA